rnacentral:lncRNA from 1 species
AUGGUCAAACUUUACAUUCUGUUAAUUUUUUUAAGCGGAUUGUUGUUGUUUCUAUCUAUUUUCACUCAGUUGCUGGUGGUUAUUUUCUUUUCCUCUUUAUCUUUGAUUGUCAGAUUUUGCGCUAUUUGUGAGAGAUACGUUUCAGCAGGGAAUAAACACUGCUCUGUGUGUAACGCCUGCACAUCAAAGAAUGGAACAGAAUGGAAGCAUUGUUCACAAUGUGACAAAUGUGUGAAGUCCUGUAAGUGUCAAAUUAUUUACCUCUCUUAAAGGAGAACUCCGGUGUAAAAUGGACUUUUGUUGUAGUAAAACAUAAUAAAAAGUUCUUACCUUUGAUGAAUAGCA